CCGAGCCGGCAGAAUCAACCCACUCAGGUCCCUUUCCCUCACGUGGAAGCUUUGUUCUUUUGUUUUUCACAAUAAGUCUUGCUGCUGCUCAUUCUGUGGAUCCCUGCUGCGGUUAUGAGCUGUAAUGCUCAUAGCUAAGGUCUGCAGGUUCAAGUCUUGAAACCAGCGAGACUACAGACCUACCGGAAGAAACUGGCAACUCCAGACGCGAGGCCUUUAAGAGUGUAACACUCACGCGAAGGUCUGCAGCUUCACUCCUGAAGCCAGCCAGACCAUGAACUCACCAGAAGAAAUAACUCUGGAGACAUCUGAAGAUCUGAAGGAACAAACUCCGGACACACCAGCUUUAAGAACUGUAACACUCACCGCGAGGGUCCGAGGGUCCAAGGGUCCGUGGCUUCAUUCUUGAAAUCGGCCAGACCAAGAACCCACAAAUUCCAGACACAACAUCAUUUCCUGUGGGAGCGUAUUCCGGAAUCACAGAGCAUGACUGUGAGAUCUCAGAUAUCCGGCUGUCACAGAGGAAGUGGGAAUUUUCAACCAUGAAUGUCGUCAUCUUUUCAAUGUGAAGGUUUGCUACUGCCAAAUAAGAAACACCAUUUUGUUUUCAGAUGAAAACUAAUGUGAGGUCAAGGCACCAGCCCGCUGUCGGCUGGCACAACCACUCCCGUGGCCUGGGCUUCAGAUUCUCCCUGUAGCUGCAGGCAUUAAAUUAUGAUGAAGGCCACAGAAAAAUAAUUAAGGUCAAAGUCUAGAAUCAAGUGUCAGCCUAUGUUAUGGACAUCACAUUUAUGUACCAUUGGCUCAUGAGGGUGGAGUGCUCAUGAAUGGAAUUAGUGACCUUAUGAAAGAGAGACUAGAGAGCUGUCUCAUCCCUUCUGCUGUGUGAGGACCUGGUGAAAAGAUGUCAGGUAUGAAACAGAAAGCGAGGCCUCAGCAGACACUGCAUCUUUUGGUGCCUUGAUCUUGGACUUUCCAGCCUCCAGAACUG